UAAAAAAGAUCUAAUUGUGAAGUUCAUUUGCUUUAUGCCCUGGAUUUUUCUACCCAAGUAGGAUGAAGACAGACAAGACAGGAAGACAAUGCUUUGUCCUUCAAAAUCUUAUCAGCAGUCACCAGAGGCCACAGUUAGCCAGAGUUAAAAGUGUCGACAACUGCAGCCAUAGCGGCUUGUUUACCCUUUCCACUGGAUAACAGAGAGGGAAACUGAUUCUCCAGGGCCAGCAGCUCUCUCUGAAUUUCACCUGAAGCUCUUCCAGUGCUCAGCUGAUGGGAGCGCAGAGGUAACGCUCAGUGAAUGUUCGCCCCUGGAUGGCUGCGAAGAAACGGAUGACGGUCUGCCUCACUAUCAAGCUUCCGGCUACAGGCCCAUGGGUUUGCUAAAGGUUUGGUUCUCCGGCGGUAACCCUGAAGAGGCUCGUGGGCGGUGUGCAGGGCGCCCCUGCGGGAGACCAUGGGACCCAGUCCCCUUCUUCACUGUCUUCUGCUUCCUGGCCAUCAGGCAGUGUGUUUGCUGCGUGAGCUGCUCCUCCUCAUAGGCUGAAACAAGGGAGCCUGUCAAUUAUGGGAUGGAAGCUCCAAAACUGUGGGCCAAAAUAAACG